AUUCGCUUCUCGUUUAACUGUGAGUCCCCGUCACUGAAUGUAACAAAAAAGGAAAAGAAAAAAAGAAACAGGUCAAGGGCGCGCGCUGAGAGAACCAGGUGCGGGCGCUCUCGUGGACGCCAAACCACAUGAUACAAGCAGCCAUCCGAUCGCGGAAGUGCGACUUUUUUUGGACCGUGGACAAGGGGGGUAGACUUGGGGGAGGAAAGGAAGGCAGAGCCGAAAAGAAAAGUUUCAUUACAUUACUCGUAUUCGACGUUUACAUUAGCCUGGCGAGCCCAGUGCUAUAUAUCUGGACCGUCUUUUGUUCCUCAAAUGUGACAUUUUCAGCAGUUGAUCUGAAAAGUGCUUAGGAGAGCAGGACCGGAAUCGAAGAGCCGAGAGGAAGCGAGCGGGAAAACUGACACACAAAAGAGUGUUUUCCGAUGGAGUAUGUGUGUGUGUGCUCACCAGACAUGCCCAUGCCCUGGAGCCAAGGACCAUGAUGCAACUGUGUUUAAGCUCGAAUAUUCCUUCCCUUCAGACGUUUCUGAUGGAAAUUUCAGCACAGAGAUGAGACAGGGAAGAAGCAGCUCAAAAAACAGAAUCAAUGCACCUUUGCAGCAUACACAGUCCGCCGUGUCCUUAGAAAGCAAGAGCGCGGACAGAGUGCACUCUAGGAUUUGUAGUUCAGCUGACUCUUCCUCAUAACCCUGAAUUCAGGUCACUCGACUGAAUGACUCACAAAUCAACCCUCUAGUUAUUCUGACACAUUGAUUAGAUGCUUAUUACAUGGUUGGUCUGGAUUUGUAAACGCAUACACCAAGAUAACCUUGAGGAUGUGUCAAAUGACCUGCAUUAUGCUUUUGCUAGGCAUUGGCUUGUUGAUGUGGUUGAGGAUGGUUCAGACAAAAAUGAAAAUUCUGACAUUUACUUGCCCUCAUGUCAUUCCAAUUCAAUUUUUUUUUAUUUUUUUUUUAUGUAGUUUUGUUUAGGACCCCAUUGACUUUCAUUAUAUGGACAAACACAGUUUUUCAGAAUAUUUUAUGUUCCACAGAAGAAAGUAGGUCAUACAGGUUUAAAACGAUACAAGGUGGGUAAAUUAAUGACAGAAUUUUCAUUUCAAGGUGAUCUAUAUCUUUAAAGUGUCCGAUUUAUAAAAAUAAAAUAAAAAAGGUAAUUAUGUGGAGGAUUGUGGAAUAUCAAGAGGAAGUAGACAGAAAUGACUAGCCCCCAACUUGCCUGCUCUUAAGUUACCAUGGGAAGAGCGUUGAGGGCAGACUUCAUGCUCCUCACCUGCUUUUUCUCUCCAUCCAUUGAUGCGCUUACUCUUUCUAUCAGCCACCAUCAUAAUUAUGUGCAUUAGAGAGAGAGGUGCUCAGCUGCUUGUGCAUGCAUGCACACUCUCAUAAAUGCAUAAAUGACUGACACUGCAACGAGAGAGCGAGAGAGGAAGGGAAGGAGGGGGCAGGAGUGCAGGGGGAAUCAGCACUAGCAUCAGUGAGAGAGAGCAAUAGACCAGACAGGGAGGAGAGUAGAAUAGAGGACAGUUGGCUACAUCGCUCCUCACACACAGACGGAGGUGGAGAGAGGAGAGGAUGAGACACUGUGGGGGAAGGAGAGGACAAAAGAAGACCGCCGUUCAUCACGCCAUUCCAAAGAAGUGAGGCUAGACAAGACUGACGCUGAACGAGGGAGCUGGCGUGACUUUGUGAUUUUGAAGAGAACAGAAGAAAAGGAUAAAAGAAAAGAGCGUGUUUUUGUCUUUCAGGGAGGGGGCUGAGCAAGAAAGCAAAUGAAGGAGAAGGAGGAGAAUUGUCUGGCACUGUUUAAAUAUUAACGUGAUUAUGAUUUUAACAUGGAGGUCGUUCGUUUUUACCUAAAAUGUGUCUCUCUCAUUCUCUUUUUAAUCCAAGGAUUUAGUGGAUGAAAUAACGCUCUUACUUUCUGCAGCAACUACACCGUGAGGAC
rnacentral:lncRNA from 1 species